UACGUAGGGACCGAGCGUUGUCCGGAAUCAUUGGGCGUAAAGAGCGUGUAGGCGGCCUGUUAAGUCUUGCGUGAAAUCUCGGGGCUCAACCCCGAGCGGUCGUGAGAAACUGGCAGGCUAGAGUGCGGGAGAGGAGAGUGGAAUUCCUGGUGUAGCGGUGAAAUGCGCAGAUAUCAGGAAGAACACCCGUGGCGAAAGCGGCUCUCUGGAACGCAACUGACGCUGAGACGCGAAAGCGUGGGGGAGCAAACAGG
rnacentral:rRNA from 1 species